rnacentral:rRNA from 1 species
CAUGCAAGUCGAACGAGAAAGCUCUUUCGGGAGCGAGUAAAGUGGCGGACGGGUGAGGAACGCGUAGGAAUCUGCCUAGUAGUGGGGGAUAACUCGGGGAAACUCGAGCUAAUACCGCAUACACUCUGAGGAGAAAAGCGGGGGACCUUUGGCCUCGCGCUAUUAGAGGAGCCUGCGUUAGAUUAGUUUGUUGGUGAGGUAAUGGCUCACCAAGACUACGAUCUAUAGCUGGUCUGAGAGGACGAUCAGCCACACUGGAACUGAGACACGGUCCAGACUUCUACGGAAGGCAGCAGUUAGGAAUAUUGCGCAAUGGGCGAAAGCCUGACGCAGCGAUGCCGCGUGUGUGAAGAAGGCUCUAGGGUUGUAAAGCACUUUCAGUCGUGAAGAAAUUUAUUUCGUUAAUACCGAAAUGAUUUGACGUUAACGACAGAAGAAGUACCGGCUAACUCCGUGCCAGCAGCCGCGGUAAUACGGAGGGUACGAACGUUAAUCGGAAUUACUGGGCGUAAAGCGCGCGUAGGCGGUUUGUUAAGUGGGAUGUGAAAGCCCCGGGCUCAACCUGGGAACUGCAUUCCAAACUGGCAAACUAGAGUGUGGUAGAGGGAAGUAGAAUUUGAUGUGUAGCGGUGAAAUGCGUAGAUAUAUCAAGGAAUACCAAUGGCGAAGGCAGCUUCCUGGACUAACACUGACGCUGAGGUGCGAAAGCGUGGGGAGCAAACAGGAUUAGAUACCCUGGUAGUCCACGCCGUAAACGAUGAGAACUAGCCGUUGGGAGGUUCGCCUCUUAGUGGCGCAGCUAACGCAAUAAGUUCUCCGCCUGGGGAG